AGAAUCAACGCUGGCGGCGUGCCUCAGACAUGCAAGUCGAACGAGAAAGUUCCCUUCGGGGAACGAGUAAAGUGGCGCACGGGUGAGUAACACGUAGGUAAUCUACCUUCGGGUGGGGAAUAACCCAGGGAAACUUGGGCUAACACCGCAUAAUGCAGCGGCACCACAUGGUGACAGUUGUUAAAGCGGGGGAUUUUCGAACCUCGCGCCUGAAGAGGAGCCUGCGGCAGAUUAGCUAGUUGGUAGGGUAACGGCUUACCAAGGCGACGAUCUGUA
rnacentral:rRNA from 1 species